rnacentral:rRNA from 1 species
CGUUCCCGGGUCUUGUACACACCGCCCGUCAAGUCAUGAAAGUCGGUAACACCUGAAGCCGGUGGCCCAACCCUUGUGGAGGGAGCCGUCGAAGGUGGGAUCGGUAAUUAGGACU